AGAGGAGACCUCCGAGCUGCCUAGACGGGACCCGGAAGUGCGCACGGGGGAGCCCGAGUUUCCAGUGGUGCGGGGGGAUCGUGGUCGACGCUGCUGCGGAGCGGCUGCGCCAUGACUGCCCGUCCGUUGUGCCGCGCUCUAAAGAAAUUUUAGAGGUCUGGUCUUUAGAGCAGCACCGGGGAUUGGAUCCAGCCCAUGGAGAAGCUGCCUGAGCAGAUAACCCCGGAGUCCCUGUACCCAUCCUCCCAGCAGGAGCCCCGAAAGAGCAAGGGAAUGAGAAAACUGACACCCAGGAAGGGGAAAUAACUUACCCAAGGUCGCCCUCCUGGUAAUGGCAGAGCUGGAAUUCGAAUUCAGAUCUGCCCGGCUCCGGAUCGCUUCCACCUCCUUCAGCGCACCCACCGCGAACAGGGGCGGAGGCCAGGGACUGCCG